rnacentral:rRNA from 2 species
GGACGAACGCUGGCGGCGUGCCUAAUACAUGCAAGUCGAGCGAUUGGUGCUUGCACCAAAGCGGCGGACGGGUGAGUAACACGUGGGUAACCUGCCCAAGAGACUGGGAUAACACCUGGAAACAGAUGCUAAUACCGGAUAACAACACUGACGCAUGUCUAGAGUUAAAAGAUGUUCUUAUCACUCUUGGAUGGACCUGCGGUGCAUUAGCUAGUUGGUAAGGUAACGGCUUACCAAGGCAAUGAUGCAUAGCCGAGUUGAGAGACUGAUCGGCCACAUUGGGACUGAGACACGGCCCAAACUCCUACGGGAGGCAGCAGUAGGGAAUCUUCCACAAUGGACGCAAGUCUGAUGGAGCAACGCCGCGUGAGUGAAGAAGGGUUUCGGCUCGUAAAGCUCUGUUGGUAGUGAAGAAAGAUAGAGGUGUAAGCCUUUAUUUGACGGUAAUUACUUAGAAAGUCACGGCUAACUACGUGCCAGCAGCCGCGGUAAUACGUAGGUGGCAAGCGUUGUCCGGAUUUAUUGGGCGUAAAGCGAGUGCAGGCGGUUCAAUAAGUCUGAUGUGAAAGCCUUCGGCUCAACCGGAGAAUUGCAUCAGAAACUGUUGAACUUGAGUGCAGAAGAGGAGAGUGGAACUCCAUGUGUAGCGGUGGAAUGCGUAGGUAUAUGGAAGAACACCAGUGGCGAAGGCGGCUCUCUGGUCUGCAACUGACGCUGAGGCUCGAAAGCAUGGGUAGCGAACAGGAUUAGAUACCCUGGUAGUCCAUGCCGUAAACGAUGAGUGCUAAGUGUUGGGAGGUUUCCCCUCUCAGUGCUGCAGCUAACGCAUUAAGCACUCCGCCUGGGGAGUACGACCGCAAGGUUGAAACUCAAAGGAAUUGACGGGGGCCCGCACAAGCGGUGGAGCAUGUGGUUUAAUUCGAAGCUACGCGAAGAACCUUACCAGGUCUUGACAUCUUGCGCUAACCUAAGAGAUUAGGCGUUCCCUUCGGGGACGCAAUGACAGGUGGUGCAUGGUCGUCGUCAGCUCGUGUCGUGAGAUGUUGGGUUAAGUCCCGCAACGAGCGCAACCCUUGUUACUAGUUGCCAGCAUUA